rnacentral:rRNA from 1 species
UACGUAGGGACCAAGCGUUGUUCGGAUUUACUGGGCGUAAAGGGCGCGUAGGCGGCAAUUCAAGUCAUCUGUGAAAUCUCCGGGCUUAACCCGGAACGGUCAGAUGAUACUGCUUUGCUAGAGUGCGGAAGGGGCAAUCGGAAUUCUCGGUGUAGCGGUGAAAUGCGUAGAUAUCGAGAGGAACACCAGAGGUGAAGACGGGUUGCUGGGCCGACACUGACGCUGAUAGCGCGAAAGCCAGGGGAGCAAACGGG